UACAUAGGGUGCAAGCGUUAAUCGGAAUUACUGGGCGUAAAGCGUGCGCAGGCGGUUAUGUAAGACAGAUGUGAAAUGCCCGGGCUUAACCUGGGAACUGCAUUUGUGACUGCACAGCUGGAGUGCGGCAGAGGGGGAUGGAAUUCCGCGUGUAGCAGUGAAAUGCGUAGAUAUGCGGAGGAACACCGAUGGCGAAGGCAAUCCCCUGGGCCUGCACUGACGCUCAUGCACGAAAGCGUGGGGAGCAAAUAGG
rnacentral:rRNA from 1 species